AUUGAACGCUAGCGGGAUGCUUUACACAUGCAAGUCGAACGGAGUGGCGGACGGGUGAGUAAUAUAUCGGAACGUGCCCAGUAGCGGGGGAUAACUACUCGAAAGAGUGGCUAAUACCGCAUACUAUUUGAGCGGCCGAUAUCGGAUUAGCUAGUUGGUGGGGUAAAGGCUCACCAAGGCAACGAUCCGUAGCUGGUUUGAGAGGACGACCAGCCACACGGGGACUGAGGAACGGCCCAAACUCCUGCGGGAGGGAGCAGUGGGGAAAUUUGGAAAAAGGGGGAAAACCUGAUCCAGCCAUCCCGGGUGUAAGAUGAAGGCCUUGGGGUUGUAAAAUAAUUUUGGGAAAAAAGCGGUAUCUGGAAGAUAAGCACCGGCUAAAUACGUGCCAGCAGCCGCGGUAAUUC
rnacentral:rRNA from 1 species